GAUGAACGCUGGCGGCGUGCCUAAUACAUGCAAGUCGAGCGAACAGAUGAGGAGCUUGCUCCUCUGACGUUAGCGGCGGACGGGUGAGUAACACGUGGAUCACCUCCCUAUAAGACUGGGAUAACUUCGGGACACCGGAGCUAAUACCGGAUAAUAUAUUGAACCGCAUGGUUCAAUAGUGAAAGACGGUUUUGCUGUCACUUAUAGAUGGAUCCGCGCCGCAUUAGCUAGUUGGUAAGGUAACGGCUUACCAAGGCAACGAUGCGUAUCCGACCUGAGAGGGUGAUCGGCCACCUUGGAACUGGGACAGGGUCCAGGCUCCUACGGGAGGCAGCAGUAGGGAAUCUUCCGCAAUGGGCGAAAGCCUGGCGGAGCAACGCCGCGUGAGUGAUGAAGGUCUUCGGAUCGUAAAACUCUGUUAUUAGGGAAGAACAAAUGUGGAAGUAACUAUGCACGUCUUGACGGUACCUAAUCAGAAAGCCACGGCUAACUACGUG
rnacentral:rRNA from 1 species